GCAAAAUGAAGAUUCCAUUUUCAUUAUUUUAAUGGAUUAAACAGAAAAUUCAGGUUUUUUCCGUUUUUUUAUUCAUUAGCACUACCGGUAAUAUAUGUGGGACAAUAACUGAGGACAAUUAUAAGGAAUUUACCAUACCCAUAUAUCAUAUAAUUUACUAUGGUUACUUCUCAAGUGCUACCAAUCUGUGCUGCCCAAAUUUAGAUAAUGAGAUGGAUAAUGACAAACUUUAGUGACGAACAAAUGUUAAUUUAUUUACGAAAAAAGUAGCAUGCUUCCAAAAUAUCCGAAACCUUUGGGUAGAAAAAUUCUAAUUAAAAGUGCUACUGCGUUGUUUGUGGUUGAAGCUAUUACCUUUGCAUUUAGUUACGGUGUUUGGUAUAAAUUAAAUAGAGAAAGGGAUUUUCGACUUUAUAUGCGCAACAAUUUUCCGAAAAUAUUGGAAUUUUACUAUACGUUAGACGAUAAAUUUGGAAAUACAAACAUUCGUUUGAUAGAUUCUGAUUACUGGAAGAGGACAAGUUCUUAGAUGUAUGGCCGAUAAAAUUAUAAAAUCUGCAUUUUGGCUCUUUGUGUGCAGUUUUAGUGGCUAUGCACUUCUGAAAAUAACAACACAGAAGGAAACACCAGCGAAUUUAAGAGGUGUGGAUCCACCUUUAGAAAGAAGAAAUCAGUCACAGCAGUUUAUGGAUGUUUUAUCUUCAGCUUCAAAGUCAAACACCCCAUUU
rnacentral:misc_RNA from 1 species